rnacentral:rRNA from 1 species
CCUACGGGAGGCAGCAGUGAGGAAUAUUGGUCAAUGGACGCAAGUCUGAACCAGCCAUGCCGCGUGCAGGAGGACGGCUCUAUGAGUUGUAAACUGCUUUUGUACGAGGGUAAACGCAGAUACGUGUAUCUGUCUGAAAGUAUCUGACGAAUAAGGAUCGGCUAACUCCGUGCCAGCAGCCGCGGUAAUACGGAGGAUUCGAGCGUUAUCCGGAUUUAUUGGGUUUAAAGGGUGCGUAGGCGGUCGGAUAAGUUAGAGGUGAAAUCCCGAGGCUCAACUUCGGAAUUGCCUCUGAUACUGUCAGGCUAGAGAGUAGUAGAGGUAGGCGGAAUGCACGGUGUAGCGGUGAAAUGCUUAGAGAUCACACAGAACACCGAUUGCGAAGGCAGCUUACCAAGUUACCUCUGACGCUGAGGCACGAAAGCGUGGGGAGCAAACAGGAUUAGAUACCCGGGUAGUC